rnacentral:lncRNA from 1 species
GUUUUGUUUGGGAUGUACAAGUACCCGGACACGUCCACGUGUAUUUUCAUGUAGUAUUUGUAUCUUUAAUCAUCUGUCGAGUUAAGACUUUCAACUGAUUUUUAUAGAUCGUUCUUAUGUUGUACUAUUACACCACUGUUACAUGUAAGGGAGUGGGUUGCGAUCACGCAAACAUGUUUGACCCCGCCACAUUCAGUAUGUAUGUGUCUCUCCCAAAUCAGGAGCCUGUAAUUCAGUGGCUGUCGUUUGUUUCUGUUCCAUAUUUGUUUUUCGUUCAUUUUUUGGUACAUAAAUUAGGCCGUUAUUUUUCUCGUUUAAAUUGUUUUACAUUAUCAUUUUGGGGUCUUUUAUAGCUGACUUUGCGGUAUGUUGACCUAUAGUUGUUAAUUUCUGUGCCAUUUUGGUCGUUUGUGAAGAGUUGAUGCAUUGGCAAUCAUACCAUUUCUUCUUUUUUUCUAUAUUUGCCUUGUGAACUAGCACGCUUAAUAAACUGACCCAGUGCGUCAUUGUAGUACAAAGUUUUGAAAAUUUUCAAAUCUCAUAUAUCAAUUUCCGUCAUAAGACGGCAUGCUGGACUCAUUCGUAUCUUGGACUGUUCGCAUU